rnacentral:lncRNA from 1 species
GUACUUACACUGUCUCUGUGAUUGUUGUGAAUAAUUUUCAUUGCUUGUAAAUUUAUGGAUACUUUAAAUUGCAUGAUGGAAUGGGAUAUCUUUCCUUUUAUGAAAUAUUUGCUAUUUUGCUUGCAGCCAAAUGGGUGGCCCACUUCUACUUUUAUUAUUUAGGAAGACAAGAACAGAAGCAUAUGAGAAAGAGUGACAAAAGAAGCCACAGUCCAACAUGCAUGGAAGAUGAGAGCUACAAAGGUGUCAGUAUAUCUCUACAGGACUAGUGCCCCUCGAGGCUGAUUGUCGGAAAUCUGUUAUGGCACCUGCUACAAGAACACAGGAAAAAAAAGACUUCCUGAAUGAAUAAAUGAAUCAAAAAUCUUCUAUUUUCCUCUACAGCACUUCUGUCUUUCAGCUACUCACAGAGGUCCAGGAAUCAUCAUUAAUAAUCAUUAAUCAUCAUUAAUACAUAUAAGGCUGUAUAAAGUGUCCAAGGAAUCGUUAUCUUUUAA